AACCUUUUGGUCCAGUUUACUGUUAUCCAUUAAUUAUCAUCUCGUGUGCUAACAAAUCAUAAGAGCCGGUAAAGAAUUGUAUAGAGCUAUCUUUUACCCAAGCAAAUUUUCCUUUUCUUAUUGUUAUUACAGGUGGUGAAAGCCAUUGGAGGACUAAUCCCAUUGCCAGCAACCAGCCCCAACGAUCCAAGAAGAAAGGAGCUAGAACACAU
rnacentral:misc_RNA from 1 species